rnacentral:lncRNA from 10 species
CAAGAACGCAAGGGGGCAAGUCCCAGAAGUAACGCCACUGCUCGGGGGAAGGAGCAUGGGGCAGGAGGGCCCGGCUGCUUCUCCAGGCCCCUGCGGGGGGCUGCUUCGGAGGAACUGCAGGGCAGCCUGGCCCGGAGGCCUCCCUGGAGCCACUCAAGCAGAGAGCGGCGCCUGCUGAGGGCAGCACCCCAGUCAAGAGAGGAGCACCGAGCCAGAGCACGGUGGCAGGGGGAGGUAAGUUUGCCCCUGCACGUGUCGAGGAAGUUUGUCCCUUCCUCGCCUAUCUUUCUCUCCCCUCUGCACGUCCUCACCUGCCUGUCUUCCGUGGGCCGCGAGCAGAGGCCUUGUACUUACGGGAAGGAGGAGGCAGUCUGUUUCUGACCCACAGGAACUGCCACUCCGGUGAUGCACUUGAGGACAGCUACUCUGAAAUCAGUUCCCAGGAGAGAACAUUUGAUUUCCGAGUAGGAGAGGAGGCAGGAGGCAGGAUAAUGACGCUGUUAUACCAUGUGAAACUCGCAAGGGGGCAGCCUUGGAGCUUGGAACGGAGGCUGGCAGGAAAAGAUGCUUCAGCCGGGGAGGGAAAAUGCAAGGUCCCGCAGUGAUGGGCAAAGGCUACGGAGUUGACUCUUGAACAACGUGGGGAUGGGGUGCCGAACCCCACGCAGUGGAAAAUCUGUGCAUGACUUUGACUCCCCCAAAGUUCAACUACUAAUAGCCUACUGUUGACCAAAAGCUUUACCCAGUAUAUAAACAAUUGAGUAAGACAUAUUUGAAGCCAGGCACAGUGGCUUAUGCCUGUAAUCCCAGCACUUUAGGAGGCCGAGGCGGGAAGACUGCUCGAAGCCAGGAGUUCAAGAGCAGCCUGGGCAAGAUAGUGAGACCCCCACCUCUACAAAUAAUAAAAAUAAAAAUAAUUAGCUGGGCGUGGUGGUGCGUGCCUGUAGUCCCAGCUACUCAGGGGUCUGAGGUGGGAGGAUCCCUUGAGCCCAGGAUUGAGGCUGCAAUGCCAUGAUCGCACCACUGCACUCCAGCCUGGGUGACAGAGCAAGAUCCUGUCUCUGGAAAAAAAAGAAAAAAGACAUAUUUUGUAUGUUAUAUAUAUUAUGUGCUGUAUUCUUACAAUAAAGUAAGCUAGAGAAAAGUACAUGUUACUGAAAACAUUAUUAGAAAGAGAAAAUACCUUCACAGCACUGUGCUGUAUUUAUCAAUACUGUAAGUUUUGUUGUCUGUUUAUAAGAGAAGUUGUCUGUCUCAAGCGGCAGUAACCGCGGCUGCAGAUCUCAAUCUGUGGUAGAUAUCAAGCAGUUCAACCCUUUUUUAUAAUGUCAUGACUUUUCUUUGCUUCUUGGAAGCAGCUCUGGCAUCACUAGUGGCCCCGCAUUUGGGGCCAAGGGGGUUAUUCAAAGUUUACGGUAUUGCAUUAAACAUGGUGAAACA